GCUGGCGUAGCUCAAUCGGUAGAGCACCUCACUUGUAAUGAGGAUGUUGUGGGUUCAAUUCCUAUCGCCAGCUCCA
rnacentral:tRNA from 2 species